rnacentral:rRNA from 1 species
UACAGAGGUCCCAAGCGUUGUUCGGAUUCACUGGGCGUAAAGGGUGCGUAGGCGGUCGGGUAAGUCUGAUGUGAAAUCUCACAGCUUAACUGUGAAACUGCAUUGGAUACUAUUCGGCUUAGAGUUGGAGGGGGGGGACUGGAAUUCUUGGUGUAGCAGUGAAAUGCGUAGAUAUCAAGAGGAACACCAGUGGCGAAGGCGGCUGUCUGGUCCGGUUCGACGCUGAGGCGCGAAAAGCG